UACGGAGGGAGCUAGCGUUGUUCGGAAUUACUGGGCGUAAAGCGUGCGCAGGCGGUUAUGUAAGACAGUUGUGAAAUCCCCGGGCUCAACCUGGGAACUGCCUUUGUGACUGCAAGGCUUGAGUGCGGCAGAGGGGGAUGGAAUUCCGCGUGUAGCAGUGAAAUGCGUAGAUAUGCGGAGGAACACCGAUGGCGAAGGCAAUCCCCUGGGCCUGCACUGACGCUCAUGCACGAAAGCGUGGGGAGCAAACAGG
rnacentral:rRNA from 1 species